rnacentral:lncRNA from 1 species
AUUUUUCUUCAUAUUAUCAGCGGAGGAAACAAGGCUUCUCUCUCGUGAAAGAAAAACAUGAGGUUGGAAUAUGUUAAGACCUUUACACAGUGUUAAAUUUGAGUAAGGUGUUUGCAUAAAAUCAUUUCCAUCACAUCCUGAUUAUGACUGGUUAUGUUUCAUUUUAUUAUUCCUUGUGUGUUUGGAAAGAGGUUCUGGUGAGAGAAUACAAAGGUAGUCUGUGUUGCAAAAGAAGCCCAAGGCUGUAGAUGGAAGAAUUGCAUAUGCAACUUUGCAAGAAACUUGGGGACAAGGAAAAUCUUGUCAGGUCAUGCAAGUGUUAUGCAAAAAAAGCUUUGGAAACACCCUCUACACAUGAUCGACCCCCAUGGGAAGCCAGUUUCAGGUGUCACUACCUCUGCUGCACAGAGGGCUUGCCUCUUUGUGGUUGUUCCCUCCAUGAAGAGACAGUACUGGUGAGAUGCAGGAGUCCCUGGGCUUGGAGAUAAAGGCAGGGCCCCUUGGUGGGUGGCCCAGGUCGAAGAGUGGCAGUCAGCUUAUGGUGCCGGGUAACGUUCUGGUAACACCCAAAGUGCCCGCUUCCUGGCCUGAAGCGCUCUCCUCCUCCACCCGACCGGAACCGAAGAGUGGCUGCAACGAGGUACUGAGGUCAGGACUGUCAGGGGCCUAUGCUGCUUGUGGCACGCAGCCUUUUUCCAGGCGCCGCCCCUGCCACCGUCUCCACCUUGUACCUGUGCGGCAGCAGCUGGACAGCGCCAACAUCGCGGCUCCCCAGCUGGGCAGACGAAAGCGCAUGCGCAAGCGGCCUGUCACAAGCGCCAGCGCUGAGCCCGGGCUCGCGUCACAGGAACAGCCACCGUUGCCUGGGGAACGAUCACAGUGGCUUCCCAAAGCAGCGGUCCUCUGUGGCAGUGCCUCAGCAUCGGGCAACGGACUCUUUCUCCGCGCGAUCAUCGCUGAGUCCUGCGAUUUUAGGAAUCCGGCAGGCCGAGCCAGGCAGAAGAAAGAUCUGUCGGGGCUUCAGGGAUGUCCACGGCGCUCCCCAGGAAUCACCGAGAUGCUGCAGACCUGCCCAAACAGUGUGAGGGUGCCUCUCGUUGAAAGCCCUCGUGACUGGGAUUUCCAGGUUCAAGACAGGUAAAUGAAUACCUUUAAGGGGACAAUGGAGAAGAAUGGUGCCUCCACAUUUCCAAGGUUUCUUUUUGCUUCUAUGCCUGUGAUACUCUGAAGAUCUCUAAGACGUUACUUCAUUUUGGCAUGGUGGUUCAAUGCUACUUGGAAAUUAGCUAACAUUCAAAAGGAAAGGCAGCAGAGAAAGUCAAGGUUAUUCUCUCAAAUGCCUGUAAGUUCUCUCUGGUUUUCUUAGCCUAUUCUCGAAGUCAAAACUUGGAUUCCUGUUUUUUGGCUGGAUAAUACAUGUUUUGAGAAAUUUUUUUCAGACAUACAAAACAGGCUUUCACAUCUGAAGCCAAUCGUGAUUUUUUUCUCUUGGUUAGUACCUUGGGUUCUUGUCUGAUCUGAAUUUUAGAAAUUUAAAAGAUUAUCAGCAUAAAUGUAAAUAUAAUAUUUUAAUUAUAAAUCCUGUAACAGAAUAAAUCAUGGUUGCUUUUUUUUAGGCAGUGCCUGUGUUAGACCUCUUCUGAGCCUGUAUCACAUAUUAUUUUUAGAAACAAUGUUAAUGCAGAACAUUUUUUCCAUUAUAAAAGAAGCUAAUAUUAAAAAUGCUUGUUAUAGAAUGUUCAUACUAUAUCGAGAAAGAUCCAUGAUGGCUGAUUGCUAACAUCUCAGGAUUGUAGCUCCCAGUGAACGUGCAGAGAACGAGAGGAUGCCACACUUUCAGAAGAAUUUUUGCCACUCAUGGGCCAGAAGAUUCCCAGCGGAGGAGCCCCAUGGGUCACCAGUGCAACUCUUGUGGCCGGUGUGGCAGUUUUGCAGGUACCUCAGCACGGCUGCUCUUGAUGCAGAAUAAACUGGACUGGUUUCCUUUCUGACCGAUGUUUGGAGCUCCAGGAAGGCAGAGUCACCUAAUAUGGACCCAUGAAUAAAGGGAGACAAGAGAUUCCCAGGCAGAAGGGCACCAUAAUUCUUAACGCUGCUGUUUUGGCCGGCGCAGUGGGUUGCUCAGAUUCUGGCCUGGGAAUCAAUCAAUUGGACAUCCACUCAGAAACCUAAUUAUAAAGGCAUUAAUUGCAAAGAUGAAAGAUGGAUAAAUUUAUAAUGAAGGGAAGAAACCAGUCUAAAAAGGCUGACAAUACCCAAAAUCGAAAUGCCUCUUUCUCUACAGGGAUUACAGUUUCUCUUCAGUAAUGGAACAAGACCUGAUGGAGAAAGACUGUGUUCCAUUAACAGAAGUAGGUUUCAGAAGGUGAAUGAUAAGAAACUUCUGGGAGUUAAAAAAACUUGUUCUAACCCAACGUAAAGAAACUAAGAACUUUGAAAAAAGGUUUGACGAAAUGCUAACAAGAAUAGACAAUAUAGAGAAAAAUAUAAAUGAAUUAACAGAGUUGAAAAACACAGCACGAGAACUUUGUGAAAUAUGCACAAGUUUUCAUAGCUGAAUUGAUCAAGCAGAAGAAAGGAUGUAAGAAGUCGAAGACAAACUUAAUGAUAUAAAACGAGAAGAGAAAAACAAAGAAAAAUGGAUUAAACAGGAAUGAGCAAAGUCUUCAAGAAAUAUGGGACAUGCGAAAAGUCCUAAUCUACAUUUGAUAGGUGUAUCUGAAUGUGAUGAAGAAAAUGAAUGCAAGCUGGAAAAUACUCUUCACGAUAUUAUCAAGGAAAACUUUCCCAACCUAGCAAGGCAGGACAAUAUUCAACUCCAGGUAAUACAGAGAACACCACAAAUAUAUUUCUCAAAAAAAAGCAACCCCAAGGCACAUAAUCCCUAGAUUCACCAGGGUUGAAAUGAAGGAGAAAAUACUAAGGGCAGCCAGAGAGAAAGGUCAGGUUACCCACAAAGGGAAGCCUAUCAGACUUACAGCAGAUCUCUCAGCGGAAACCCUCCAAGCCAGAAGAGAUUGGGGGCCAAUAUUCAACAUCCUUAAAGAAAAGAACUUUCAGCCCAGAAUUUCAUAUCCAGCCAAACUAAGCUGCACAACUGAAGAAAAAAUAAUUGUUUUUUAUGAAGAAGCAAGUACUCAGAGAUUUUAUUACCAGCAUUACACAUAGAAAGGAACAACCAGUAUUAGCCUUUGCAAAAAUAUACCAAAAAGUAAAGAGCAUUAACAUAAUGAAGAAUUUACAUCAACAAAUGGACAAAACAGCCAGCUAACAUCAAAUAGCGGUAAUCCUAUAUUUAAUUGAUAAAAUCCCUUAAUCAAAAGACACAGCCAAAACCCAAUGGUAUGCUGCAUUCUGACCCAUAUUGUAUGCAAGGAUACACAAAUACUCAAUGGAAUGGAGAAAGAUUUACCAACCAAAUAAAGAGCAAAUAUAAAUAAAUUAAUUAAAAGCAGGAGUUGCAAUUCUUGCCUCUGAUAAAAUAGAUUUUAAAGCAACAAAGAUAUAAUGGUAAAAGGAUGAAUGCAACAAGAAGAGCUAACAAUCCUAAAUAUACAGGAACACCCAGAUACAUAAGACCUAUAAAGAGGCUUAGACUCUCGAGACUCCCACACAAUAAUAGUGGGAGACUUCAACUCGAUAUUAGAUAGAUCAAUGAGACAGAAAGUUAAUAAGGAUAUUCACGACUUGAACUCAGAUUCGUAACAAGUAAAGUUCAUCAACAUUUAUAGAACUCUCCACUUUAAAUAUAUAAACUAUACAUUCUUAUCAGUAUCACAUCACACCUACUCAUAGGUUUAAAUAAAAUAUUGAUCGGCCAUUAUUAAGCACAAUUAUUGGCAUAAAAGAGGUUUUCAAUACCCAUUUUUAGAAUAAAACAACAUUCCUCUUCUCCCUCUUUUUCUUCCUCGGUCUUCCUCUCCUUGAUUUUUGUUUCUUUCUUUCUGUCUCUCCUUCUAUAAAAAAAUAAAUAAAGGAGAAUUGCAUUUAUGGAACAGAAACUUACAUUUACUAAGUGCCUAUUGCACACCAGGUUCCAAGCAAGGCAACUCUGCAAAUGAACUCUCUCCAUGUGUUCAGUGACUUAGCCAUUGUUAACUGGCACUUAUGGAUAAGUAAAUCAAGAACUUGGGGAAGUACAUCACCCUAGGUCCCCCACCCCACACACAGAAAAGAAUUUUUCUCUCAGCCUUUGGUAGGACAGCCUUACUACCUCUUAAUACUCUGGUGAAAGUGUAUUUUCUUUGCAAUUUAUUUUUGUCAGGGACACAAAUCUCUUUUUUCAUGUAGGUUUUCUUAGCUACAACCUGACUUUUGUGUUGAAGGAGCAAGAUUACCAAGACAGGCAUAAACCUCAUGACUGUCAUUUUCCAAUCAGAAAAAUGUUAUAAAUGGCUGAUCAUUUUAUGUUACUUCAACAUUUCUGAUAUAGGAAAAAAAGCAUGAGCUAUGUUCAAGACCCAGCCUUGUAAUUUAUCCUUGGGAUCUAAGGCAGCUAUUUAACCUCCCUGAAACUUAAUUUUUAUCAUCUGUAAAAUAAUACAAUCACUUAGGUCAUAAGACUUUUUUUAAACUUUCAUUUUAGGUUGAGGAAUAUAUGUGCAUAUUUGUUAUAGGUAAACUUGUCUCACAGGGGUUUGUUGUACAUAUUAUUUCAUUACCCAGGUACUAAGGCUAGUACCCAACAGUUAUUCUUUUUGAUCCUUAUAGGAUUAUUAUAAAUGUGAAACUAGGUAUCUAAACCACCUAGUAUGGUACUCAUACAUAUUAAGCGAUCAAUAAAUUUUAAUUCUCUGAACUCUCUCAUUUCUCUCUUUUGAGGCUUAUAUUUGGGGUAGAAAAAAAUCUGUAUUAUACGUACUAUCAUAUUCAUCCAUA